rnacentral:rRNA from 1 species
AGCGGAGGAAAAGAAACCAACAGGGAUUGCCCCAGUAACGGCGAGUGAAGCGGCAACAGCUCAAAUUUGAAAUCUGGUCCCCUCGCGGGGCCCGAGUUGUAAUUUGCAGAGGAUGCUUUUGGCGAGGCGCCUUCCGAGUUCCCUGGAACGGGACGCCAUAGAGGGUGAGAGCCCCGUCUGGUCGGACGCCUAGCCUCUGUAAAGCUCCUUCGACGAGUCGAGUAGUUUGGGAAUGCUGCUCUAAAUGGGAGGUAUAUGUCUUCUAAAGCUAAAUACCGGCCAGAGACCGAUAGCGCACAAGUAGAGUGAUCGAAAGAUGAAAAGCACUUUGAAAAGAGGGUUAAACAGUACGUGAAAUUGUUGAAAGGGAAGCGCUUGUGACCAGACUUGAGCGCGGCGGAUCAUCCGGCGUUCUCGCCGGUGCACUCCGCCGUGCCCAGGCCAGCAUCGGUUCGCCGCGGGGGAUAAAGGCGUCGGGAACGUGGCUCCCCUCGGGAGUGUUAUAGCCCGUCGCGCAAUGCCCCGCUGCGGACCGAGGUACGCGCUCCGCAAGGAUGCUG